UCGGGAAUAUUGCACAAUGGAGGAAACUCUGAUGCAGUGACACCGCGUAUAGGAAGAAGGCCUUAGGGUUGUAAGCUAUUGUCGUGUGAGAAGAAAAUGACUAUCACAGGAGGAAGCCCUGGCUAAAUAUGUGCCAGCAGCCGCGGUAAUACAUAUGGGGCGAGCGUUAUCCGGAUUUAUUGGGUGUAAAGGGUUCGUAGGCGGGAAAGUAAGUCAGUAUGUGAAAUCCCUCGGCUCAACCGAGGAACUGCAAUUGAAACUAUUUUUCUUGAGUACUGGAGGGGAAAGUGGAAUUCUUAGUGUAGCGGUGAAAUGCGUAGAUAUUAGGAAGAACACCAGUGGCGAAGGCGACUUUCUGGACAGUAACUGACGCUGAGGAACGAAAGUGUGGGGAGCAAACAGG
rnacentral:rRNA from 1 species